AUUGAACGCUGGCGGCAUGCCUAACACAUGCAAGUCGAACGGUAACAGGCCCUUCGGGCGCUGACGAGUGGCGGACGGGUGAGUAAUGCUUAGGAAUCUGCCUAGUAGUGGGGGAUAACCCGGGGAAACUCGGGCUAAUACCGCAUACGUCCUACGGGAGAAAGCGGGGGACCUUCGGGCCUCGCGCUAUUAGAUGAGCCUAAGUCCGAUUAGCUAGUUGGUAGGGUAAUAGCCUACCAAGGCGACGAUCGGUAGCUGGUCUGAGAGGACGACCAGCCACACUGGGACUGAGACACGGCCCACGACUCCUACGGGAGGCAGCAGUGGGGAAUAUUGGACAAUAGGGGGAAACCCGUGAUCCAGCGAUGCCGCGUGAGUGAU
rnacentral:rRNA from 1 species